UACGUAGGGGGCAAGCGUUGUCCGGAAUCAUUGGGCGUAAAGCGCGUGUAGGCGGCCUUGUAAGUCCGUUCUGAAAGCCCGGGGCUCAACCCCGGGAGGCGGAUGGAUACUGCAAGGCUCGAGUCCGGAAGAGGCAAGUGGAAUUCCCGGUGUAGCGGUGAAAUGCGCAGGAUAUCGGGAGGAAUCACCAAUGGCGAAGGCAGCUUGCUGGGACGGUACUGACGCUGAUGCGCGAAAGCGUGGGGAGCAAACU
rnacentral:rRNA from 1 species